AGUGAACGCUGGCGGUAGGCCUAACACAUGCAAGUCGAACGGCAGCACAGUAAGAGCUUGCUCUUACGGGGGGCGAGUGGCGGACGGGAGAGGAAUACAUCGGAAUCUACUUUUUCGUGGGGGAUAACGUAGGGAAACUUACGCUAAUACCGCAUACGACCUACGGGUGAAAGCAGGGGAUCUUCGGACCUUGCGCGAUUGAAUGAGCCGAUGUCGGAUUAGCUAGUGGGCGGGGUAAAGGCCCACCAAGGCGACGAUCCGUAGCUGGUCUGAGGGGAAGAUCUGCCACACUGGAACUGAGACUCGUUCCUGACUCCUACGUUAGGGAGCAGUCCGCAAUAUUUGACAAUGGUCGCAAGCCUUAUCCAGUCAGACCGCGUCUGAGACGAAAGCCUUCGGGGUGUGAUGCCCUUUUGUUGGCAAAGAAAAGCAUCCGGUUAUUACCCCGCUUUUCUGACGGUACCCAAAGAAUAAGCACCGGCUAACUUCGUG
rnacentral:rRNA from 1 species